AAAAUCAGAAGGUGCAGCGCCGCUGGUUUGAUAAUCAAUAUAAUUAGCCCACUAUUAUUAAUAUUAUUAUUUUAUCAUAUUCAAUAUUUUAAUUUGAAAACGAGUUGGAAAAAAUAGCGGGACUGGCUAUCUAUAUAUGUCCUCCGCGCUCGGGGCUUAUCGUUUAAUCUUCCGCUUUGAAAACAAUGGUGGAGAAGACUAUUUUUUUAUCGAAUUUUCUCUUGAUAUCGAACGACAGGUCAGAGUUCACAGUAUUUCGUUUAGAUCUUAAUCGUCGUAAAAUUAUGUGGCAGGAUUGUGUGAUGUAAGAGGAGAAAGAGUUUUUGAUUAGAGUAGAAUUUAGAGCGUUAAUUGGUAGGGAACGAUUGGAGGAGGUUUUGGUGCUGUAGAAGGGGAGGAAAAUUAGGUCUAGAGAUGGAGAUGGUUGUGGCGAAGGGAAGAGAAAUUAUUGCCGGGGUGGAGGCGGCUGUGAAGGAGGUCGUAGCGGACGAGAAGCGGUGCAAGAGAUCUGAUGGUAAGCAGUGGAGAUGCAGCGGCCAAGCUAUGGAUGGAAAAACCCUCUGCGAGAAACAUCAUUUACAGGCCAAGCUGCGAGCCGCGAAAAACCCUAAUAACCCUAACCCUAACCCUAACGAAGCGAAAAUUCAGAGGAAAUUGAAGUCAAAUGCCGAUGGAGGGGGCUUGAAGAAAAUUGAGGCAAAUGUCGAUGGAGGAGGCUUGAAGAAAAUUGAUUCAAUUGUUGAUGGAGGAAGCUUGAAGAAAAUUAAGAGUAAUGUUGAUGGAAGAAGCUUGAAGAAAUUAAAGCCCAAUGACGAUAGUGGAAGGCUGAAGAAAUUAAAGGCAAACGAUGAUGGGGGAGCGUUGAAGAAAUUUAAGCCGAAUGACGAUGCAGGAGGCUUCAGGAAAUUGAAACCUCAUGACAAUGGAGAAGGCUACAAGAAAUUUAAGUCUUAUGACGUUGGAGAAGGCAUAAAAAAAUUUGAGCAUGAUUAUGAUGGAGACGGCGUCAAGAACUUCGAGCAUAAUGACAACGGAAAAUGGAUCAAAAAACUUGACCCAAGUGAUGAUGAAGGAAGUGCAAAUAAAAGAGUCGCAGAUGAUCAUUAUCUGUUUUAUAAUUCUGAGCCUUUGAAGAAGAAGAUGAAGAAGGAAAGGGCAGAGGAAUACGCAUUCCCUCAGGACAGUGAGAGGAAGAUGUUGGCAAGCCAUGAGCCUCUCAAAAGGAAGAGGGGUCGGCCCUCUUUUAAGGACAAGAAUCAAGAUUGGAGGAACAAUGUUGAUGAAGAUCCGGCUCUUUCUGCAAUGCUCAAGUCGGCAAAGGAUUCUCUCAGUAGAGAAAUGGCCCAUUCAGAAAAGAAUUUUCAAAGCAAGGAUUUGUCUAUAACAAAUGGAGAUUCUAUCAGGAACAGCCGGAUGUGUCACCAAUGUCAGAGGAAUGACAAGGAGGGAGUUGUUUUCUGUUCCAAAUGCAACAGAAAGCGUUAUUGCUUUCCUUGUAUUGAAAGAUGGUAUCCAGAGCAGUCUAGAAAGGAUAUUGAGGAGGCUUGCCCUGUUUGCAGAGGAAAUUGUAAUUGUAAAGCAUGCCUGCGUGAAGAUGGCCGUGUGAAGUUAAUGCUCCCACAAAGGGAAACAAAUGACUCUGAAAAAUUGGUUUGUCUGAGGUAUAUGCUAUCUAUGGUUUAUCCUGUACUGAAGCAUAUUCGCACUGAGCAGUCUUUGGAACAGGAGAUGGAGGCCAAAAUUAGAGGGGUAGAAGCAGUGACUGAUGUUCAAAGGGCAAAACUGAAUCCAGAUGAGCGGUUGUAUUGUGAUAACUGCAGUACAUCUAUUGUUGAUUACCAUAGAAGUUGCCCAGAGUGUUCAUAUGACCUCUGUCUCACCUGUUGUCGUGAACUUCGGGAAGGGUGCCAGCCUGGAGGAGAUGAAGCAGAAUCAGCUCAGCAGCAGUGUAAGGAGAGAGCUUAUGCUCAAGUUAGGGGUGCUCUUGGUGCUGGUUGGGAGAGCCAAUCCCAUGCCUUGGCUAAUAGUAUUGAGAACAACUUUUGCCCAUUACCUGAUUGGAGAGCAAACGGUGAUGGUAGCAUACCGUGCCCUCCUGUGGAACGAGGGGGCUGUGGAAAUCAAGUGCUAGAAUUAAAACGUAUUUUCAAGUCGAACUGGGUUGUAAAACUUGAGCAGAAUGCUGAGAGAGAGGGCAAUAUAUAUAAAGAUCAAGAGGUAUUAGAAGAUUCAAAAACCUGUUCUUUAUGUCUUCAAUAUGAUUGUCACAGAAUGGAAGGGCUUCCCAACAACAUGUUACGUCGAGCAGCUUUCAGAGAAGGUACAAAUGAUAAUUUUUUGUACUGUCCAACUGCACAUGAUACAGAUGAUGGAAGUUUUAAGCACUUUCAGAAGCACUGGCUCAAGGGGGAACCUGUAAUAUUUCGGAAUGUUCUUGAAGAUACAUCAGGUUUGAGUUGGGAACCGAUGGUUAUGUGGCGGGCUGUUCGGGAGACUACCAAAGGCAAAUUCAAAGAAGAGACAAAAACAGUCAAAGCUCUUGACUGCUUUGAUUGGAAUGAGGUUGAGAUCAACAUUCAUCAGUUUUUCAAAGGAUACUUGGAAGGCCGUAUGCAUAGAAAUGGCUGGCCUGAGAUGUUGAAGCUAAAAGACUGGCCACCAUCAAAUUUAUUUGAAGAGCGCUUACCUCGACAUGGAGCUGAGUUCAUUAGUGCAUUGCCAAUUCAUGAGUAUACCCAUCCUAAGUGGGGCUUGUUAAAUAUUGCUACCAAACUUCCUGAUACUUGCUUGAAGCCCGACUUAGGUCCGAAAACAUACAUUGCAUAUGGGACGUGUGAUGAACUUGGCAGAGGCGAUUCAGUAACUAAGUUGCACUGUGAUAUGUCUGAUGCGGUAAAUGUUCUAACACACACAGGCAACGUGAAGUUCCCACGUUGGCAACAAGAUAAGAUAGAAAAAAUGAGGAAGAAGUUCAAGGCACAGGAUUUAAAAGAACUACAUGGACACUCAGACGGGGGCAGAAAUGGAAUUAGUGAAAAGGGUCAGGAUAAACCAGUGAAUUCAGAGCCAAAAACAAGUGAACUUACUGGAUCCAAGGUUGCUGAUGAAAAAAGACCUUGCUCAUCUCCCCAUGAGGAUGGAACACCUUGCUCUUCUUCCCCAGAUGAAUUGAAUUCUGAUGAAAAUGAGGCCAAUGCAACUGGAGGUUUAGUUGAGUACUUGGAGGCACAGGAUCUAAAUAUAGUUGAAAACAAGAUUUCUUGCCUGGGCGAGAAGAGGACUGAUGAAAGCAUAGCAACAGAAGUUUAUAGUGCUUGCGAAAAGAAAAAAGAAGUGUUUGCAAGUAAAGAAAACAAUUCAGAAUUUGAAUAUGGUGGGGCUUUGUGGGACAUCUUCCGCAGGGAGGAUGUGCCAAAGCUACAAGCUUAUUUGCGGAAACACUGGAAAGAGUUUAGGCAUCUCAAUAGUGCCCCAGUAAAUUCUGUUGUACAUCCCAUUCAUGAUCAGACACUCUUCUUGAACGAAGAUCAUAAAAAGAAGCUGAAGGAGGAGUUUCAAGUUGAGCCAUGGACAUUUGAGCAGCAUCUUGGUGAAGCAGUAUUUAUUCCAGCAGGAUGCCCUCAUCAAGUUAGAAAUCGCAAGUCAUGUAUAAAGGUAGCAAUGGAUUUUGUAUCACCCGAAAAUGUACAACAGUGCGUGCGUUUGACAGAGGAAUUCCGCUUGCUGCCUAAGAGUCAUAGAGCUAAGGAAGAUAAGUUAGAGGUUAAGAAAAUGACUUUAUAUGCUGUAAGUGCUGCUGUUCGAGAAAUCAACAGGUUGACAGAGGAUCCAAAUAAGACGUGUUGACAUCGCUUUCAACACAGAUUAUCAUGCUAUUUAUGGGACCUUAACAAUACAAGAGCUUACAGAUUGGCUGCGGUUAUGGCAAAUGUUGGAAAUCUUGGGAAAAAUGGAUUCAAAACGUAUACUUUGGUGUCUUUUACACAAAUGAAAGAACAAAGCUUUUCUGAACUAGGAAGGAAACUGAAAAAGUAUCAUGGGAUUCCAAGAAGAUAUUUGAGGACUUUGGCGUUAACUAAUUACGCUUUUACGGUGGUUUUUUCAGAAUGUUUAAAUUAAGCUUUCUUGCCACAAUACAAUUUUUACUACAAAAAUAGAAGCACUCCUAACAGAUGCUACUAACUGAGGGACGAACGCCUCACAAGUCAUACUUCUUAAUUGGCAGGCUUUUGGUGGAUGUAAAGUCCUUAUAAGCCCACGUUGCCUUACUAUUAUAGUCAAUAUGGGAGAAUCCAACACAAGUUAUUUUAUCUGUAUUAAUUUGAACAUUAUUGCCUAAUUUUUUUAAUUACUUUCUUUUUAUAUCAUAUAGAAAGGCUGAAGAAUUUACGUUGGUUCA